rnacentral:lncRNA from 1 species
ACAUCUUUAUAUCUAUAAAUAUAUGUAGUGCUCCUUUUAAAGUAGUAUAAAGGGUUUUUAAGAAUUAUUAUUUGGGGGCGCCUGGGUGGCGCAGUCGGUUAAGCGUCCGACUUCAGCCAGGUCACGAUCUCGCGGUCCGGGAGUUCGAGCCCCGCGUCGGGCUCUGGGCUGAUGGCUCAGAGCCUGGAGCCUGUUUCCGAUUCUGUGUCUCCCUCUCUCUCUGCCCCUCCCCCGUUCAUGCUCUGUCUCUCUCUGUUCCAAAAAUAAAUAAACGUUGAAAAAAAAAAUUAAAAAAAAAAAAAGAAUUAUUAUUUGUUCAAUGGAAACAGCUUAGAAUAGGAUGGGGCAGGGAACAUUCCAAGGGUUAAAAGAAGGGAGCCAAUCGCAAAGAGGGAUGGGAAAAGGUAUGGCUGCGGAGAGUGAGGGCAGAGGCAUCUCUGGCCCUGGAUGAGACACUAUGGGUCAAAGCCCUGCAUCUAGAGUAACACUUUGUCCCCUGAUCCUGUCCUCACUCCAUUAUUGCAUCACCUCUGUCUCUGGUUGAUGCUGUGAUGAGGUUAGAACCCUUGAUAGCUUUUUUUUCUUUUUGUAUCUGAACGGUGGUUUUACUGACCAAUAUGUUCCUGGAUAAGGACUCCAAGCCCAGAGUACACAGUUAAAGCAACUACUUUGUUUCCAAAAAGAAAGUACACAAGGAAUCCCGAGUGUCCCCCACUAAUGUGAGAGCUUGACCCCCGACCGGUCUCCACCCAGUUCUGGUCUCCACCCAGCUAGAGAAAAACGUCCUCUAGCUGGCCAGUCUGUCAUCCACUGUGACACCUGCUUACAAGGCAGGCGUGGCAUCGACCGACAUCUGCUCACCGUCCAAGCACCAGGUAUGGGCUGAGCAGCUCCGCAAGCACGUUUGCCAGAUGCUCUCGUUUGCGUUAAAAUCGAACGUGCGCGCUGACACAUGGCUGCUGGCCGCGGAUCUCGAAUUAGAACACCCUUGGAUCAAAUAACCUGGCAGAGGAAAGUUCUCGUGGCCCCCCGUCUACGACAAGUUCUCUGCCGGGAUCACGUUCAGGACAUUCCCAAGGGCGAAGGAUGCGGGUCCACUUGUCCUCUCUGUCUGUCACAUCAAAGUAGCCGGUGCCAAGAUGUAGCGGAUCUCGUCGUCCGGGUGCAGCGUCAAGCUUCCAGUAAAGAACCCCGAGCAGGCGCAGGUGCUCCAGGCGAACCAGGCCGCAGGGCUCGCUGCGGUGGGGCAGCCUCGGGUCGUCGACCGACUUGUCCACGUACGAGGCCUGCCCCAUGGCCGGGCGGAGGACGCAGCGAAGGAGGAGCCAAAUCCUUGAUAGCUUAA